CCCGCCUAGCUUCUCCUAGUUGCUAGAAGGCGAACUGCGAAUGCCACUCGGAGAAGAGCCAGGUGUCGCUGUGGUCCUCUACAAAUGCGCCGCCGCCGCACUCCUCGGCCUUAUAGGUUCCAGGAAAGCCCCGCCUAAGACGGAUCUUGGCCUCUCCUCAUCCCUUCCAGGUCCCUCUGAAGAUAUAUUUAUCAAGUGCCUGGCCAAGUGCCCAGCAUUGGGAGGUGUUCGGUGUAUUGUUUGGGAAGCCAUAUUUUCUGGCACUGGAAUCAAGGCACCUGGGUGCCCAUGGGGUGAGUAGGGCUGCUGUUCGGUGGCCUGGGGCCCAGAGUGAGGGGAUCCUUCCUUUUCACACAGAGCCACAAGUUGGCAGGGCUGCGUGAUCCCUGAGGGGGCACUUCCUAAUUUGCACCAAGAUGUUGUAUUAGGCUUGCACCCUAUUGGAAGAGCAAACCAGCCACUUUAAGAAUGGCAGAAUGUGAAGAGAUUCAAACUUGAAAGGAAUAGUUCCCCUCAUGAAAAGUUUCCACUAUUCAUUUAACAGCCAAGCCUCCCAGUUACCUGAUUUUGGAGAACUUAUUGUCAAUUUAUGAGUGAGAAGAACUUGAAUGCAUCAUGCUUUUCAGUGUAGUGUACUUAUCCUCAAUUACUGUUUUUCUAAAUACACAAGUAUACAGUUUUAGACCUGAAAGAAAGUUACCUACUGGUUUUGUUUGUUUGUUUGUUUGUUUUUUGUUUUUUUUUUUUUUUUUUUUUUGCUUUUAAUACUGGCUUUGAGUAUAGGCUAAGCCCUAGAAACUAAUAAAACUGGCCAGUGUCAAAUAUCUAACUGGUGG
rnacentral:lncRNA from 1 species